AAUAUUGUACAUAUUUCUAUUUUAACAUAUUUUUAUUUUUUCAGAUGCCCCUAAUGAAAGUUGUACGCUGUCCAUCGGAUGAGCUAUCCAUUACAAAUUGUGCAAUAGUGAGUCCACAUGACUUGAAAAAUUGCAAGCAUAUUUCAGUGAGAGUCCAAGGUGGUUCUUAUGUAUUCAGUGUGACUCCAGACCAGAAGGUGAACAGUGGAUCUAUUGGCUUUAGUUUGGUACAG